UAGGGAAUCUUCGGCAAUGGACGAAAGUCUGACCGAGCAACGCCGCGUGAGUGAAGAAGGUUUUCGGAUCGUAAAACUCUGUUGUUAGAGAAGAACAAGGACGUUAGUAACUGAACGUCCCCUGACGGUAUCUAACCAGAAAGCCACGGCUAACUACGUGCCAGCAGCCGCGGUAAUACGUAGGUGGCAAGCGUUGUCCGGAUUUAUUGGGCGUAAAGCGAGCGCAGGCGGUUUCUUAAGUCUGAUGUGAAAGCCCCCGGCUCAACCGGGGAGGGUCAUUGGAAACUGGGAGACUUGAGUGCAGAAGAGGAGAGUGGAAUUCCAUGUGUAGCGGUGAAAUGCGUAGAUAUAUGGAGGAACACCAGUGGCGAAGGCGGCUAUCUGGUCUGUAAAUGACGCUGAGGCUCGAAAGCGUGGGGAGCAAACAGG
rnacentral:rRNA from 1 species